GGGCUCACACAAGCGGUGGAGCAUGUGGUUUAAUUCGAUAAUACGCGCGAAACCUUACCAGUUCUUGACAUAUAAGUUGUCUAUGUUGAAAAAUAUAGGCUUAAGCUUAUACAGGUGUUGCAUGGCUGUCGUCAGCUCGUGUUGUGAAAUGUUUGGUUAAGUCCUUUAACGAGCGCAACCCCUAUUAAUAUUUGCAAAUACUAAUCAUUAUGUGAUUAGAUAUGUACUUUAUUAAGACUGCCAAUGAUAAGUUGGAGGAAGGUAGGGAUGACGUCAAGUCCUCAUGGCCCUUAUGAACUGGGCUACACACGUGCUACAAUGGUAAUUACAAUAGGAGGCAAUAGUGCAAACUGGAGCGAAACCUUAAAGAUUAUCUCAGUUCGGAUUGUAGGCUGAAACUCGCCUACAUGAAGUCGGAAUCGCUAGUAAUCG
rnacentral:rRNA from 1 species